GACUGCUGGCGAAUAAAACUAUAUUGCAUGCGGAACUUGAACGAGUCCUUAGUCCUGAGUCCUUGGGCCUGAUAGAAAAAGACUUCGUGCCCGGACAGUUGGCAGGAUGUCAGUCAGUCGCCGCAGAUCCUCCUGGCUGAAAUGAACUCAGAAUGGCAGUGUGAAUUACUCUAGAACAGCGAGUACCAGCUGAACUUGAAACGGAAAAUCAGGAAAACAAAAAAAACUUUUUAAAACUAAAAAACACGAGUAUCCAUCCUGACAAAUUCCAAGCAAAUUGCUGCCAAAUUAUGUCACCCCACGAAGCCCGAGAGCAGACACAUUUUUCAAGAGAUUUUUCUAGCAAACACUGUGUGUGUGCAAAUCCCUCCUGUGACAAUCAAAAUCGCUGGCAAAUAAACUAAAAUCAAACUAAAAUAACACAAAACAAACGACAAAUACCAGCAACUAAUCUACGCUAAUAAAUUGUCAACCAAAAUAAUUUCAACAAUAACCAAAACGUUCAGCACUCAGAGACAAAGAUGAAAAAGUUUUUUUUUGAGACGAUUUAGUCUCAAAUAGUUUUGUCUGUUUUCUGCCUUCGAGGCCGCAAAGAAUUCCAGAGGCUGUUCUCAAGUCGAAACUAUUUGAAUGGGAUUUUUUUAUCAAUUAUACCUAAAUAAGUAGAGUGGGCCGCACCCAUCGAUGCCAACCCCUCGAUCCGUUUGGCUAUCGAACUGUAGAGCAAGUCAAACAUGGAACAAUCGGUCAGCGACAAUGAAAAUGCCAAGUGCGAGUACGAGUACGAGUAGCUUUUUGCCGCCGCUGCGGCUUUCGAACAAUAUUUUUAGUUGUACUUUUCAUUUUCUAUUUAUUUAACUGCCAGCAGUGGCAGCAGACUUGAGUCUUGAGUCGGCCAACAAACCGCAUGCACGCUCGCUUUACAGGCUUCUUUUUACCACGGAAAAACUAAGGGGACUUUGGGGGGCAAUAGGUUUUUCCAGACGAGACGAGACGAGACGAGACGGGACGCCAAUGAAGCGAGAAAAAUUACUGUUUGUAAAGUGAGUUUGUCAACAUGAGGCGUGUGCAUCGCAGAACCAGACAAAAGCCAGAUACAGAUACAGAUACAGAUAUACAGAUACAAACAAGUAUCAUUAACGCAAUGCCCAAACCGUUAGAGAGGCAUGCAUUCGAGCUGGAGUUGGUUUGGUGGCAUCUUUACCUGGAAGCCGACUCCAAAAAGUCCAUAACUCCAAGUAUUUUUCUGCAGAAGUUUAGGUUCGUUUGGUUCGCUGCAGCUCUGCAGAUCAAGAGGGGAGCAAAAGUGGGGGACAUGGGCAAUGUAAUUGAAUACCUGGCAUACUCAUCUAUUCUCCACUUGAACCAUGUUUACAUUGGCAUGCCCAUACCCUCGCUGGGAUUAUGCAUGUUUGUCGGCACUUGAUGAGCAUUUUGUUGGCCAAGACUAUGAAUUAGCUAAGAUUUUUAUGUGGUUGUGGCUACCUAAAGAGCAGAAAAAUUAGCAAGCGUGUUAAGAUUUGAAAAUUCUACUUGAAAAUCAAAUGCAAUUAUAUCCGGAAUCUUUUUGUUUCAGAAGAAACCUUUUUCUAGUUACCUUUAUUAAAAAAUAAAAUCAAUAAUCACUGGGGACUAAUUACCUAUUAAAAAUAUAUUUUAGUAAUGUCUUUAAGACGUUAAAAAUACCAAAGAAAUGUAUACAAGUGCCUGCUGAUUAAAAGUGUUUAAUCAUUCUUGCACUAAUUCCCUAAAAGUCAAUAAUACCUGGAAACAAUUUGCCUUUAAGUAAUAUAUCUUAGUUAAUAAAUUUAGUUAAGGGUGGUAAUUUAAAAUAUUUGAGUUUCCAAUUACAAGCAUAAAUUAUAUUUAUUAGGGCAUACAUUAUUCGGACCUCGGUGGUUCCUAGUUCCUAGUUCUUUUUAAGUUUUGUUUGACUAGGCGUACGCUUAUGGCUUGUUGUCCUGGCUGAAAAUGGCACUGGACCCAACAUAGAUGGAGGCCCAGUAGAAGGUCCAAGCCAAGGCUACUGGACAAGGUCUGCAGCGUUGUCAGCAAUUACUCAUUUAUGGCUUGUCCCGGCAUUUCUCGCUCUCGGCUUCUGUGUGAGCUGGUAUCUGUGUUUACUGCCUUCCACAGCUCAAGGCACUGAAAAAGAGUAAAAUUCAAUUAGUAUUCCCUAAAUUCCUUAAGGGAAUUUGAUUUUACUUUGAUAGAAGUCGUUGAGCCUAUAUAUAAUAUUUAAACAUAAUA